UUGGUGUCCUCAGUAGAUGGAUUGUUCUGAAAGUUACUAGGCUGCCAAUGUUAGAAACAUAAGUCUACGAAGACUAAUGAAGUAAAGCUGGAGAGAGCCUGCAGAACUACCAACAAAUCUGGACUUGAAGAAAACUUCAAGGUACCUGAGGUCAACUACGGUCUGGAAGCAGAUGAUCCUUCUCCUGACAUAUCAUCAUCAUAAAGUCAGCCUAACUUUAUGUCACAAGCCUGUCAUUCACCUCACUUCGCUUCAUCAGUUACCGGCUGUCAACCACAGUCUGGAAGCAGAUGAUCCUCCUACUGACAUAUGGUCGGAAAGUCGAUAGUACCCGAAAACUACAUCAUCCUGCUUACAUCAUUCACCUCACUUCACCUCAUCAGGAGAAAUAAUACAAGAGAGCCCUUGGGCUGUCCUUAAGGUGAGGCUCACCUUAUCAAGGUAAAGGAAGGCAGAAGUCAAG